GGGGUUGUAGCUCAGUGGUAGAGCAUGUGCUUAGCACGCACAAGACCUGGGUUCAAUCUCCCGCACCUA
rnacentral:tRNA from 1 species